UUCUGCUCAAUGCGCACGUAAAUAGCCGCAGUACCCUGACUGUGCAAAGGUAGCAUAAUCAUUUGGCUUAUAAUUGAAGUCUGGAAUGAAUGAAUCUAUGGGUAGAUGCUGUCUUAUUUUAACUACAUUAAUUUGCUUAUUAAGUGAAAAUUCUUAUAUAAAUUUAAAAGACGAGAAGACCCUAGAAAUUUUUAUAAUACUAAUAGUUUAUUUACUCGUUUUUGUUGGGGCGACAGAGUAACAGUAAACUUGCUUUAAUAUGCGAAUUUUCUAUAAAGAGAAACCAAAUUACUCUAGGGAUAACAGCAUAAUUUGCUAAAGUUUGUGACCUCGAUGUUGGACUAGGAACUUUAAUGCGCAGAAGGCAUUAAAUUAUGCUCUGUUCGAGCNGNUUUUCCUACGUGAUCUGAGUUCAGACCGGA
rnacentral:rRNA from 1 species